rnacentral:rRNA from 1 species
GACGAACGCUGGCGGCGUGCCUAAUACAUGCAAGUAGAACGCUGAAGGAGGAGCUUGCUUCUCUGGAUGAGUUGCGAACGGGUGAGUAACGCGUAGGUAACCUGCCUGGUAGUGGGGGAUAACUAUUGGAAACGAUAGCUAAUACCGCAUAAUAGCAGUUGUUGCAUGAUAACUGUUUGAAAGGUGCAAUUGCACCGCUACCAGAUGGACCUGCGUUGUAUUAGCUAGUUGGUGGGGUAACGGCUCACCAAGGCGACGAUACAUAGCCGACCUGAGAGGGUGAUCGGCCACACUGGGACUGAGACACGGCCCAGACUCCUACGGGAGGCAGCAGUAGGGAAUCUUCGGCAAUGGACGGAAGUCUGACCGAGCAACGCCGCGUGAGUGAAGAAGGUUUUCGGAUCGUAAAGCUCUGUUGUAAGAGAAGAACGAGUGUGAGAGUGGAAAGUUCACACUGUGACGGUAUCUUACCAGAAAGGGACGGCUAACUACGUGCCAGCAGCCGCGGUAAUACGUAGGUCCCGAGCGUUGUCCGGAUUUAUUGGGCGUAAAGCGAGCGCAGGCGGUUAGAUAAGUCUGAAGUUAAAGGCUGUGGCUUAACCAUAGUACGCUUUGGAAACUGUUUAACUUGAGUGCAAGAGGGGAGAGUGGAAUUCCAUGUGUAGCGGUGAAAUGCGUAGAUAUAUGGAGGAACACCGGUGGCGAAAGCGGCUCUCUGGCUUGUAACUGACGCUGAGGCUCGAAAGCGCGGGGAGCAAACAGG